rnacentral:rRNA from 1 species
GAAUCUCGAAAGCCUGUCUCAGUUCGGAUUGGAGGCUGAAACCCGCCUCCAUGAAGUUGGAUUCGCUAGUAAUCGCGCAUCAGCCAUGGCGCGGUGAAUACGUUCCCGGGCCUUGUACACACCGCCCGUCAAGCCAUGGGAGCCGGGGGUGCCUGAAGUUCGUGACCGCAAGGAGCGACCUAGGGCAAAACUGGUGACUGGGGCUAAGUCGUAACAAGGUAGC